rnacentral:misc_RNA from 1 species
GAAUCGCGAUAGGAAUUGCGAAUUGCAGAAUUCAGUGAAUCAUCGUAACUUUGAACGCAAACUGCGCUUCGGGGUUGACUCGGAGCAUGCCUCUUUGAGUGUCGGUCAAAACCUCUCCUGGGUUUCCAGUGAGGACGUGGGAGUCGCUAGUCUCCUGAAGAACGCGUGGUGGCGGGAAACCGUCUCCGUGCUGCGAACCCGUCCAGGACGGUCGAAUGGAGCUGAUUAGUUGCAUGCGACUCUGGUGGGCUAGUGGCGCGGUGUGCCCUCUGGUGUAAUAGCAUUCCGCUUGGUUUCGCUACGUGCACACAUUCUUGACCAUCGACCUCAAAUGAGGUAAGAUUACCCGCUGAACUUAA